rnacentral:rRNA from 1 species
GGUAUAGGUUUUCGGACCUAGAGACCGGCGCACGGGUGCGUAACGCGUAUGUAAUCUACCUUUUACAGAGGGAUAGCCCAGAGAAAUUUGGAUUAAUACCUCAUAGUAUUAUUGAAUGGCAUCAUUUAAUAAUUAAAGUCACAACGGUAAAAGAUGAGCAUGCGUCCCAUUAGCUAGUUGGUAAGGUAACGGCUUACCAAGGCAACGAUGGGUAGGGGUCCUGAGAGGGAGAUCCCCCACACUGGUACUGAGACACGGACCAGACACCUACGGGAGGCAGCAGUGAGGAAUAUUGGUCAAUGGGCGCAAGCCUGAACCAGCCAUGCCGCGUGCAGGAUGAAGCAUCUAUGGUGUGUAAACUGCUUUUGUACGAGAAGAAACACUCCUUCGUGAAGGAGCUUGACGGUAUCGUAAGAAUAAGGACCGGCUAACUCCGUGCCAGCAGCCGCGGUAAUACGGAGGGUCCAAGCGUUAUCCGGAAUCAUUGGGUUUAAAGGGUCCGUAGGCGGUUUAGUAAGUCAGUGGUGAAAGCCCAUCGCUCAACGGUGGAACGGCCAUUGAUACUGCAAGACUUGAAUUAUUAGGAAGUAACUAGAAUAUGUAGUGUAGCGGUGAAAUGCUUAGAUAUUACAUGGAAUACCAAUUGCGAAGGCAGGUUACUACUAAUAUAUUGACGCUGAUGGACGAAAGC